AUUUUUCCCCUGGAAAAAGACCAUGAUGUCUCGGUUCCCGGUCAACGGAGCUUUCUCGAGGGUCUUCCUUACACUUUCCGGUGGGAUAUAAGGCGGUAUAAGAACAUUUUCAACGUCUUGACAAGGUGCUUGUAAUUAACCCCAAAAGUUUGUAAUAUUAUUGAGUUUUUCAAAAACUCUGGAAUCCCAUCAUCAAUUGCUCUAUCCUCCUUCAAAAUCAAAAACAAGAGUUAAAAACCAAAUUAAGGGAUCCUAAAAAGAUUAACCCUUUUUUUUUUUGUUUUGAGAAAUUAUUUUUGCAUUACCAUGGCGUGGAAGCAGGCUCCAUAAUCAUGGGAGGCAACAAAGAUGUGGUCCGAACCUUGGGAAGCGGUUCCAGAAAGGGUAGUUUGUGGAGAUAAGUUUGUAUAGCGGAGGAUAAAAGAGAGCGAAGCUGGCCAAUGGCAGGGAAACCAUUGACCGUGCUAAAGUUACAGGAGACAUAAACAGGGACGAAAAAGAAAUCAGCUUCGUAAGGAUCAAAUGUUCUCAAGUUGUACGUGUUCAUCAAAGCUCUAUGAAUGGCCACCUCCGAGGCAAACAAGUGGUUGCUGCAUCGCUUGUUGGAAAGCCAGUCUUCAUUGUAUUCUGACGGCAACUCGUAGAUGAAUAUCUUCAAGUCUUUGAAGGAAGCUGUCAAAGAAACAAAAGAACAUUAAAAACAUUGCUUUUGCAAAGAAAUUUGGAAAAGCUUGGUGAAAGCAGAAGAAAAAAAACCUGGGUUUUUGGGUUUGGAUUUAUGACUAGUUUUGUUAACAGAUUCAAACAGUAAACGAGAAGCUAGGGAGGAUUUGGAACCAGAAACACGGGAUUUUGACAAAGAGAUUGAUUUGUUACCAAUGAAGAAAGAGGUCAGAAAAUAGAGGGUAAAAGAAAACCAAAGAACCCAUUUGUAGUAUUUGAAAAAGAGGCUUUUUUCAGGUUGCCUGCCUUUGUGUAAUAUCCUCAUCUUAACAUAGAACCCUCUGUUUUCUUGGUGGGUUUUUGCAGUUCUGAAGCCAUCAUCUAAUUUAAAAUAAAAACACCAGGAAACACAGAAAAGACAAAAAGCUGCAACAGAAGAUUGUUUCCCAGAGGAAGAUCAAACGGCUUAUCUUUGGCUAAAGCUAAAGCAGUUGAGAUGGGGUUUUCGGUUUCUGGUUUUGAUGAUGAAGUGGAAAUCAAGAUACAGUGAUUAAAAGAUGGAUAGAUACAGGUUGGUUGGCACUUCGUUUUUGCACCAAAAAUUUGAACAAAUGUUGUUUAUCUUAUUUCAUGACAGGUCUGGUUGGGUUCAGCUUUCAUCAAUGAAAAAUUUAUAAAAAAAAAAAAAGAGAGAGAGAGAGAGAGAGAGAGAAGAGAGGUUCAGACAGACAGGUCACAUGGCGACGGAGGAGAAUGGAAUCCGGCGUAGGCCUCGGUUCUUCUUUCGAUGUUCUGAUUUUGGCCCAGUGAGGAUUUUGAUGCGUUUAAUGACAUGAAUGCCCUUAGUGAACUAGCAUUAAGGUGGAAUGUUGAGAGUACUUAUUAGUAAAAAUGAAUUGAUAAUCUCGUGUUAACCGAUAAGCUUGUGCGUAAAGCAUUGGGCUAAUGAAGGUGACAACAGAAUUAAACCUCUGGUACUUGGUAAUUAAGGUAUGGUGGGCCCUUGGGAUGUUUGAUUGGUUUUUGAUCAACGGUUGAGAUCUUUUAAUGUUAUUGACUGGGUUGUACUUUUUUCUGGAUCAAAAAAUCAAUAUAGGGGAAAAUUUUGUACGAAAAAAAAAAAAAAAAAAGGCUUGAGCAAGCGCAUAUUCCGAUGGCUUUGUUAGAAAAAAAAAAUGGAGGGGCAAAGGAUGAAUUAAAAAGUUGCCAAAUGAAAAGGGCCAAAAAGGACAUGGACAAACAUCACAAGAUCUGUCUGGAUUUCAAGGUUUGCUUUUGUUGAACUUGAAUAAUCGGAUCAAAUCAAAGAUUAAAACUUGGCAAAAGUUAAGAAUAAUAUAUAUGUUGGUGGUAUUGUAUUAGAGGCUUUUUCUAAAUUGAGAAUAGUAUGUAAGUUGUCUAUGUUUUUUAAACACAUCAUAUAUAGACUAUUUCCAUGUAAAACACAAAUUUGUUAUUUUUAAAAUUCGAACAUGAGAUUCUGAAUUACAAAAUUAAGUUUUUAAUCCUUUGAAUGUUUACUUAAAAGUUUGUGGAUAUUUUUAGAUGUACAAAAGAAUUUUUUAACUAAUGUAUUUCACGUACCUUUUUAAAUUUAGUUAAAUUAUUAUUUAUAAAAAUAAUUUUUAUUUUUAAAUUUUAAUUUAAUUUAAAUUGAUUUAUAUAAUUAAUUAAAAAUAGAUUUAAUAAUUUUUAAUUAAUUUUAGCACUUUCAAUUUUUUUAUUCCCAAUAUGUGACAUUUUUUUGUAAAAAAAAUCCUAUAUUAAUUAUAGUCAUUAGUAAUUAAUUUGAUAAAUUUUAAUAUAUUAAAAAAAUCUAAUAUAAUAAUUUUAAAGAAUGAUUUUAAGACAACCGGUAGUAAAAUCCUAAGUAAAAAUAUAAAUGACAAUUAUUUAUAUUCGACGCUUAAAAAUCAAGUGAUUGGAAACUUGCGUAAGCUUAUAUAUGAAGAUAAACAGACCAUCAUGAUGUUUGGUUUCAUUCCAAUAGAUUAGAGGUAGAAGGGCACCAUCAACUCGUCAUUUAUGGUGAACUUUACGCAACAAGCAGGUAAAACAAUGAUUCAAACAAGUUUUGCAGAUGCAAGGGAGCCUAAAGCACUUUCUGAAUUGAGCUUUGAAUUACAUUAAACCUUAAAACCCAAGCUUUCAAAAUUCUCGAUCUUGAGCUUCUCCCGUCACAAAAAACGACUUAGAAUUUGUGACAUCUUACCUACUAUAUCAGAUCAUAAGUAACAUUACCAUCAAGUAUUUUUAGACUUUUUCGUUACCAAAAAAAACAAAAGAUUGAGUUAGGGUACACGUGUGAGUGCAGUGAAUAGAAAGUUGUGGUUGAAUUUUGGUGCAGAAUAACUUGAACUUGUGUACAAAGUCUGACCUGGAGGUCCCCAAAAACGUUUUCAGACUGGCUUUUCUUAAAAAAACAUUUGUUAUCUCUGUACUCAAGUGAGGAAGAUGUUGUCUCUUUUUGUAUUGGUGGCAAAGUAAUGACCAAUGACCAAACUCCAACCUGAUAGCCGCCUUUCUUACUUUCUAUCUUCUUUUUUUUUAAUGAAAGAACCGAGAAAGUUUCUUAUCUGAAUUUAGUUUUUUUUUUUUUUUCUAAUCACAUUAUGCUUAUAAAUAACAACGAGUUGAAUCGAGGUAAAUUUUUAUUUAUUUAAAUUUGAUUUAAUUUUAUAUAUAUAAAUUUUGAAAUUAAUUUAAUCUCAUAAAUUUUUUUUUAUAUUCGAACCUAAUUAAUUUAAAAUUAAUAAAAUAUUAUUUUAAUAUAAAUAAAAAUUACAUAAAUAUAAAAGUAAAUAAUUAAUUAAAAAUAUUUUAUAUAUAUUAGGUUUGAUCAUAUUUGCUUAAAAUUUGAUCUUAAUUUUUUUUACUAUUGUUAGAUCCGAUCUGAUAUUCAAUUUUUUAAAAAAAUUGACUCUAAAAAAUCGGAUUGAAUCAAAACUCGUCGAGUAUAGGUUAGACUGCAUCUCUAAUUGUGCAAGGUGUGAACAUUUUUAAAAUUAAUUGCAUUAGAUACUUUGAUCUCAUCUCAAUCUUAAUUUUAUAUAAAACUGUAAACGAAUUGAAUAUAAAUGAAUUGUAUAAUUAUAUUUUAUUAUUUACUUUUAGAAAUAUUUAAAUUUGAUUUAUAUUUGGUAAGAAAAUUACUCUAAUUUCAUUCAACUUUGAUUAAUUUAAUAAUAUGAUAUUUACAUUUAGUUCAUGUUCGAUUCGAUUAAGUUAAAUAAAUUCGUUCAUAAAUAUUAAAUAAAACAUAUUUCUCAUAAACAAUAUCUUCCUCACUUGAGUACAGAGAUAAACAAAUGUUUUGUUAAGAAAAGCCAGUCUGAAAACGUUUGGGGACCUCCAGGUCAGACGUUGUACACAAGUUCAAGUUAUUCUGCAACCAAAAUUCAACCACAACUUUCUAUUCAAUGCACUCACACGUGUACGACUAACUCAAUCUUUGUUUUUUGGUAACGAAAAAGUCUAAAAAUACUUGAUGUAAGGUUACUUCAUGAUCUGAUAUAGUAGUAAGAUGUCACAAAAUUCUAGUCUUAUUUGUGACGGGAAAGCUCAAGGUCGAGAAUUUUGAAGCUGGGUUUAAGGUUUAUGUAAUUCAAGCUCAAUUCAGAAAGUGCUAUAGGCGCAUAAUUUUAGACAUGACACAAUAUACGACAUAAAAACGAUAUGAAAAAAGUAAUAUAUGUGUUUUAAAAAACAUGUUUCGUAGUUUAUUCUAUCGACCGAAUUUCAACAUAACAUAAUUCGUGUCUUAUAUGUUGUUACUUGUCUAAACAAAAUAUGAUACGAAUAACAUAUUUUAAUUUAAUAUUGUCAUACGAAUAUACGUUAAAUAUGUUUAACACGUUUAAUAAAAUUUAUAUUUAUUUGAAUUUAAUAUAAACAUAUAAAGAUUAUUUUAAUUUUAAUCUUUUAAUUAUGAUACUUAAUUAGUUAUUUAAUAUCAUAUAAAAAUUAUUUUAAAUAUUUAGUUAUGAUACUCAUUUAAUAAUUAUUAUAUAAUUAUUUUUUAUAUUGAUAAAAUAAAUACAAUAUUAAUAUUAAUAUUACUCCUAUACAUCAUUAUUUAUUUUUUAAUAUUUAAUAUUUAUCAUUUUGAAUUUAAUAUUAAAAAUUAAUAUAAUUAUGUAAUAUAAAUUAAAUACAUAUUAAAUGAGUAUUAAAUUUUUAUUUUUUUAAUAUAUAUGUAUUUUUAUAUUAUUAAUAUAUCAAAUUUAUUACGAUAUAAAUGAUAGAUAAUUUAUAGUUAUUUAUUAUUUUAAUAAUAUUUUUAUAUAUAUUGCAUUAGUUGUAUUAUUCAUAUAUAUGUAUUUAUUUAUGUUUAUUUGUAUUUGUUUAAAUAAGUUAAUUGCACAUAUAUUAAUACGUUUAUUUAUCACAUGUAACGUAUAUUAACGUAUCAUAUUCGUAUUUAAGAUUUAAAUAUUUUAUAAUUCGUAUUGUAUUAUAUUUUAAUAAUUUAUGUUAUUAUAUAUACAAAUAUGAUACAAAAAUAUAAAUUAUCAUCUCUAAUAAUAGCUGAAAAUUUAUGAAUACUUGUUUUAUUUAUUUAUUUUGCAUUUUAUUGUUUAAGACAGUGUGUAAUAGCAAAGACAAUUGAAAUGAUUUUAAUUGAAGGAAAUGUAAACAGUUCCUCUAUCUCCAGCGGCAACAUUAGCAAACACCCCCCCAAAGUAGAAAGCAAUCACGUCAAAUUGAAACAGAGAUUUCCAAAUGCAAAUGAAGGACGUACUUUGGGGUCCCACAAAAUAAUUCAUUCUUGAUGAAGUUANNNNNNNNNNNNNNNNNNNNNNNNNNNNNNNNNNNNNNNNNNNNNNNNNNNNNNNNNNNNNNNNNNNNNNNNNNNNNNNNNNNNNNNNNNNNNNNNNNNNNNNNNNNNNNNNNNNNNNNNNNNNNNNNNNNNNNNNNNNNNNNNNNNNNNNNNNNNNNNNNNNNNNNNNNNNNNNNNNNNNNNNNNNNNNNNNNNNNNNNNNNNNNNNNNNNNNNNNNNNNNNNNNNNNNNNNNNNNNNNNNNNNNNNNNNNNNNNNNNNNNNNNNNNNNNNNNNNNNNNNNNNNNNNNNNNNNNNNNNNNNNNNNNNNNNNNNNNNNNNNNNNNNNNNNNNNNNNNNNNNNNNNNNNNNNNNNNNNNNNNNNNNNNNNNNNNNNNNNNNNNNNNNNNNNNNNNNNNNNNNNNNNNNNNNNNNNNNNNNNNNNNNNNNNNNNNNNNNNNNNNNNNNNNNNNNNNNNNNNNNNNNNNNNNNNNNNNNNNNNNNNNNNNNNNNNNNNNNNNNNNNNNNNNNNNNNNNNNNNNNNNNNNNNNNNNNNNNNNNNNNNNNNNNNNNNNNNNNNNNNNNNNNNNNNNNNNNNNNNNNNNNNNNNNNNNNNNNNNNNNNNNNNNNNNNNNNNNNNNNNNNNNNNNNNNNNNNNNNNNNNNNNNNNNNNNNNNNNNNNNNNNNNNNNNNNNNNNNNNNNNNNNNNNNNNNNNNNNNNNNNNNNNNNNNNNNNNNNNNNNNNNNNNNNNNNNNNNNNNNNNNNNNNNNNNNNNNNNNNNNNNNNNNNNNNNNNNNNNNNNNNNNNNNNNNNNNNNNNNNNNNNNNNNNNNNNNNNNNNNNNNNNNNNNNNNNNNNNNNNNNNNNNNNNNNNNNNNNNNNNNNNNNNNNNNNNNNNNNNNNNNNNNNNNNNNNNNNNNNNNNNNNNNNNNNNNNNNNNNNNNNNNNNNNNNNNNNNNNNNNNNNNNNNNNNNNNNNNNNNNNNNNNNNNNNNNNNNNNNNNNNNNNNNNNNNNNNNNNNNCAUACAAUACUCAGGCUAAAACAAGAAUGAUGGAACAGGACAAUACAAGUUAACUUAAAAGGAUAGAAAAGUUCAAGAGGCACUGAAAAAAAUUUUGAGCAAGAUUCUAGAAGCCCUAAAAAAGGCAAACAAAAAAAAAAGGGAUGCCUAAUUGGAAGGUACUGAAUCAACAUAUCCUCCAGGUUUUAGUCCACAACAAACUCAAACUGCCCCAAUAUUUCCAACCUUAAUAGGUAGCUCUCCAAAAUAAUUAUCCGGGAAUGACUUAUGCCUCCUUUCAUGAAAUACAGAGUAUGGUAAUCUAUUUAACUAAACCCAUUUAACUCCCUACUGUAGAUGAAGCAAGAAUAAAGAGAAGCUAAGAUAGUUAUGCCCUGAGAGAGUUCUAAAUUUGAUUAGGGCAAUGAACAGGCCUCAAAGAAAUAUUACGGGUUGUGCAAAGCGAAUAUACUUUUACGGAUCCUAUGAAUGCAGUGGAAACUUUGCCUAGUACCCAGAUGUGGAGGAUGCCACCAAGUUUAAGUAUCGAAGUUUUGAGAAAUACGAUAGUACUAAGUGUUUUAUAACACAUUCAUCAUGGCUAUCAUAAAAUGGUGGCACAUGCUAGUAAUGAGAAGCUACUUAUGUAUGUGUUUCAAGACAGCUUAAUUAGAUCUGUAGCAAGUGGUAUGUUCAGUUAGAUGAGACCCACAUAAAGACAUAAAAGAUUUAACCAAGUUUUCAUUAAUCAAUAUUGUCAUAUCAUUGGCAUGGCUCCGAUCGUCUUUCCUACAAGCAAUGGAAAAGAAAGUAUUUGAAUCCUUUAAGCAAUACACUAAAAAAUGGUGAAAUAUGGCAACUCAGGUAUAACCUCCUUUAAUAGAAAAAAAAACUACUGUGCUAUUUGUGAGCACUUUAAAGUUACCCUAUUAUGAGAAAAUGAUAAAAAUACGACUAAAAACUUUAUUGAUAUGGUGAUUUCUGGAGAGAUUAUUGAGAACGUCAUAAAAAAUGGUAAGCUUGAAAGAAGUAAGUUUUUCAAAAGAGCACCUAAAAAGAAAAAAAGUGAAACUCAAGCUGUAAGUCUUGAGGGAUAGCAAUUUAGAAGCUACUCUCGACCUACUUAUCUUACAUACCACCACAUGGUAUGCCUUUACAUCUCUUUACCAAGCAAUCACCCGACCAUCUUAUCCAUCUUCACCAAGAUCUUCUGCUCAUUUAAUCAGCACUAUAAAUAAUAUUAGAGAAUCACGAACUAGAAAAAGACCUACAUUCGACCCUAUCCACAUAAGCUAUAAGAAAUUAUAUCAAGAACUCUACAAGAACCAUCUAAUUGCUCAUGUCUUUGCCAAACAGCUUGAACCCCCUUAUCCUAAAUGGUAUGAUUUUAAUACCUAUGGCAACUACCAUUUUGGAGUAACAAGACAUUCUACUUAAAAUUGUGUUACUUUCAAGUAUAGCCUAAUUAAGAAAGGGUUAAUUUGAUAAGUUUUGAUACUAGUAAAAAUUCAACACUCAAUGUUAGUGGAAACCCUUUACCCAAUCAUAUGAUCAAUGCUUUGGAUAUGGGUGGAAAACAUAUGAAAAAAAGAGUAGAGGAACUUAAAAUGUCGUUUAGCCAGUUGUAUGAUGCCCUAUAUGAAGCUGGAUUGAUACAACUGGUAGCACCAUGUACUUAUGUAGGCAGAUGUAUCUUAAACCAAAAAUAUAAGUAUCAUGGUAAGACACCAGGACAUUCGAUUAAUGUCUACAAGCAAUUUUAUUGUAAAGUUUUGAAGUUAAUAGACUUUUACUAAAUAGAGUUAUAUGAAAAUUCAAUAGCUUUAGAAGACAUUAGGGUGGCUAUGAUAAAUAGGUAGGUGCCAAAACCUAUCACUAUACAUUGUAGGGAUAAGCCACAAUCAGUUAAGAAUAAGUUGUUCUUAAGUCAGUAGCUCUUAAAGUUUAUACCCAUUUUCUUAUAAAGAUAACAAAAUAGUGCUCUAGAGAUAUGAGUAUGAGGUGAUGACUCAGGGGCAACAUAUGCCAAAAUCUAAAAUCAUCAAUAUAACAGAGGUAGAGGGCAUAACUAGAAGUGAAAGAUGUUACACUCUAAUAGUUUUAAAAAAAAAAAAAGAUCAAACUAGAGACUCUAAAAAAAGAUGCCCUGAAGUCUGUGCCUGAAAAAGAGGCCUGUGAGUUUUUGAAGCUAGUCAAGCACAGCAAAUACUCUAUGGUGAAACAAUUGAAUAAGAUGCCAGUCAGAAUUUUUUUACUAUCACUUUUUCUAAACUCUAAACCAUAUCUCAAUGCCUUACUAAAAGUAUUGAAUCAGGUUUAUGUGGCACAUAAUGUGUCUAUAAAGUAUGUGAAUCACUUGGUAGAAAAUUUAGUAGUGCCACAUCACAUCUUUUUUAGCGAUGAUGAGAUUCUACCUUAGGGUAGAAGAAGCACCAAGGUAUUACACAUCACUGUUAAAUGUAAAAGCCAUAUAGUAACUAAGGUUCUUAUUGAUAAUGGAUCAGUUAUUAAUGUUAUGUCAGUAUCUACCUUGGCCGACCUGUCCUUUGAUAUGUCCCAUAUCUAAAAUGACUAGAUAAUGGUUCAAGCAUUUGACAAGACUAGAUGAGAGGUCUUGAAGGAUACUGAGUUGCUUAUUCAAAUCAAGUUAUGUGUAUUCAACAUAAAAUUUUAGGUCAUGGAUAUCUCUCCAUCAUACAGUUAUUUUUUGGAAUGACCAUAGAUUCACAAGGCAAGCACCAUCCCUUUUUCAUUGCAUCAAAAAAUCAAAUUCAAUGUAAAAAGAAAAUUAGUGAUUGUGGCUAGAGAAAAAGAUUUGUUGGUGACCCAACCCAUAAAUGCCUUAUAUAUGAAAGUGAUAGAAGAAUCAUUGGAGUGCUCUUACCAAUCUUUUGAACUAGUUAAUGUAGUGGGUAAAAAACUUAAGUUCAGUUAGAUUGUAAUCAAUCAGAUGGUUAACAAAGGUUGGAGUACCUAGUUUGACUUGCGUAAAAGCCUUCAAGGGAUAAAAGAGAUUCUUAAGAUUGAGGAUUACAACUACAGAUCUGGAUUAGGUUAUGAGAUUAAGAAAUGGCAGAACAAUAGCAGAAAGGCAAAGAAAAAUCAAUGAUCUUUUUUUAUUGAAUGAAACUUUCAUUCUUAGAGGAUACAUGCACCAAGAAGCUGAAGAUGACACAAAAGAAAAACCAAAAUGGAGGAAGUUUUUACCAAGUUGUCCAUUAACAUGGUGGGUGAUGAAAGUUCAAGAUGAGAAAACUUUGGUUUACUCCUGCUCGCUGGGAUAUGAAUUACAAAUUGAAGGGUCAUCUGAAUACUUAUUUUUUUCAAUUUUUCUUCAAUGUAAUCAUAUCUCCUAAUUGUUUAUACCCAAAAGUAUUGGGAUGAACUCUUAUGUUUUGAGCUUUUCAUUUUUUCAUUAUUUCAAUAAAAGUAAGAACAUGCAUUUUGUUCAUUCUUCCAUUCAUUCCACCAUUAAAGUUCUUGUCAAUAUUUCCUAUUCUAUCAACUUUCAGGUUCCCAAAGAAAUGCAAAAAGUAACCAUGAAAAUGAUCCAGGGAUUAACUUUGAAAAUUCAAUUAAUACUGAUGAACUUGAUACUAAAUAAGAUUUUGAGGAAUACACUUUGUCUCUGAAUUUAAUGAGGCUAAUUGAAUAGGAGAUAAAUCCAGUGAGCCUCAUCAAAAAGUGGUUGAAUUGAUCAAUUUUGGUGAUGCUGAAAACAAGAAAGAAGUCAGAUUGGCACUUCACUCCCAGUUAUUUAUCGACAAGAAUGAAUGUUCUCAAACCAUUCCCCCUACCCAUAGGUAAAAAAAAAUUUAUCUUAGUAGUGGUAGACUACUUCACGAAAUGGCUAGAAGCUGAGGCCUUGGCCAUAACAAUAAAGGGCCUAAGUCAAGAAAUUCAUGUGAAAGAACAUAUUCUGUAGAUUCAGCCUACCUCAAUCCAUAAUAAUGAAUAAUGAUAAAUAAUUCAAAAUUUGAGGUUCAAAAAAUAAAAUUCAAACAUUCACAUUGACCUGAGAUUCACGUUGGUUGUCUACUUUCAGUCUAAUGGACAAGCCGAGCCCCAAACAAGAUAAUAUAAAAGCCCUAAAAAAGAGAUUAGAUAAAGCGAAAAAAAGUGGGUCGAUGAAUUUUUUGAGGUACUAUGGGCUCUAACAAAGACCAUAAAGGUACCAAUAAAAGAAAUUUCGUUCCACCUAGCAUUUGGAAUGAAUGCCAUAGUGCCUAUCGAAAUCAAUCUUUUGAGCUUAAAGUUUAAUUAGGGUCAGAAAAAAAAUGAAGAGGCCUUAAAGACCAACCUAAAACUUCAUUAAAGAAUAGAGAAAUGUGGUUCUAACACGGAUAUCAGCUACUAACAAAUGCUAUCUAGCUAUUAUAAUAAAAAAGUCUGACGUAAGAAUAUUAGAAAAGAUGACCCGUACUUAGGAAGGUUAAAAGCAUUAGGAGUUGACAACCAAGAUGGCAAGUUAGCUCUGACUUUUGGAAAAAAUCAUAUGUAGUGAAAGAGGUCAUCUAUAGCAUGACUUACAAUCUCAGGACAUGAACGACAAUAUUAUUCCAAGGACGUGGAAUGUGAAUAACUUAAAGGUGUAUUAUUAAUAGCUUAACAACAUUAGCUUAUACUUGUAAGCCAAAAAUCAAUGAAGUCAUGAUGAUUAUGUUCACUUCAAAGCGAUCAUGUUUCACUCCUUACUCUAACCAACUUAAUAAACCUAGCCUAACACUUAAAUGGAUUUCAAUUUAAUCUGAGGUAUUCCUAGAUAGUUGGAUGAAUCUUCCGUUCACUUAAAUGUGACCUGAAACUUAAACCAAAUAUUGGCUAAGUAACAGCUUAAAUAAGUAAAGAAAAAUAAAAUUAGACUGCAAACUUAAACAAAAUAUAUCCAAUUUAUCAUAAAUGAUCAAGUUAGUACAAAAUAUUAUCAUUGAAUAAAUCAUGUUAAGGUCACAACAAAAACCAACCUUUAUACAUCAGUAGUUUUUGAAAAAAAUUUUAUAAAUAUCAAUAAAAAAUAUAAAAAAAAGCUAUGCAUCAACAACAAUCAAUACAACAAUAAUGAGACUUGUAUAAUCAAUAGCAGCAACAUCCUUUUAGACCUCUCCAGCUUCAGCCCCUAAAGUAGCUUUAAACUUAACAUCCAGUACUCCAUUUUCAUCCUCUCUCUUUUUUUCCUCAUUCUUGAAUUGAUUGUGAAGAGGCCUCGAUCUGAUAUUAUUGAUAUCAAUAUCAGAGAAAUCAAGGUUGAGGUCGAUAAAUUUGAACUACAUUUCAUCCUUAGCCAGCUCGAAGGCACCGAGCACAUUGUCUUUGAGAACUUCACUUAAAACUUAAAGAAUUCAUUGAAGGCUUUGAAGUCUCAACAGCUUUUUUUUUUGCUUUUCCUCAGCUUCAACUUAUACCUCAGCUUCACUAUUCUUGGCUUGAGCAUCACCAAGUUUUAACUCAGGCCUGCCCCCUCAUGAAAUCUGUUGAACCUUCUCAAUAUGAUGGCCUCCAACUUGGCUAUUAGCUCAUCAAUUCUCUUUCUCUACUUAACUUAUUUUUUAUGAAAGGCACUUAGACUGGACCUCAUGCUGUCCCAAGGUGUCUGAGCUUUUUUUAAUGUUAUUCGUUCAAGAUGGUCAUAUCUUUCUCUACUUUGAAUAGGUGGGCUGUAGUAGAUAUGCAUGAUGGAUAACCUGGGGUAGUGUUGUCCAUGGGUAUAAAAAGGAGGUUUCUAGAAGAUUACAACAAGACGAACUCAAACUUAGCCAAGCAAAAUAAAAAAUAAAUAAUGAUUGACUAAGCUAAAGUUGAGUAACACUUACUGCUAUGAGAAUUACGACUUUGCCAAAACCUCCUGGUCGUCCUGGAAUUCUCAAAAAGGUUAUCAAUCAAGGUAUACUUCAGCCUUAUGCAAACCAUUUCUGAACUGGGCUUGAAUACCUUGGAUUUUGGAUUCUUUAAGGUAAAAGAAAAGCCUCAAUCUUCAACUUCUUAGCUAGUGAAAGAAUGGCAAAAAAAAGGUCCUAAUUAGUCAUGCUCUUUUAUUUUCUAAUGGAUAAAGAGUGCUAAGCUAAGGAGCUUAGUAGUUACACACUGUGGAAUUGAUCACUUUAUUCCCCUCAUUGAAAAUAGGCCUCGAGCUAGAUCUUUUUGCUUUGGACCUUCUUAAGUCUAGGCUUAUGUUAAAAAGUGAAGAAGUUGAAAUCUUUAUUGAAAGACAUCUUUAUAAAAUUGAGCUAAGAGUAAGAUAAAAACUAGGUUAAAACAAAAUCUUAUGAGGUACUUUACAUCUACCCAGUAUUAUGACUAGUUUAUUAUUUCAUGGAAAGUCAACUCGUAGCAUCUAUGAUAGCUUUCUCCUACAAUAUACUCCAUUAUUUUGUCCCGAUCUUAUAAGUCCAUGACAAACAGGUAACUAGCAGCAAAAGUUUUGGGCUCAUUUUAUACUCUCAAAGCUCAACAUCGACCUCGAAUCUCAUUAUCUUUAUUUGGUUUUUAUUUUUGAAGGUAAAAGAAGAGUAAACUUUCAAUUUUUUAUAGAGCUCAAGCAAUCAAUAAAUAGCUUCUUAUUUGGUUGAGUUAUCCAUAGUACCAACUCCUAGCAUUGGAAUGCCUUUUAAUGAAAAAAUUCCUUAAAUAAAGGGAGAUCGAAAAGAAUAUAUAAGUAUUGAUAAAGAAUAAUAAAAUAUACUAUGUACUUUAUAGAGUUAUGAAUGAGCUGAAUGACUGUUAAAUUAUAAGAAUUAAAAAGUAAAACAAAUAGAGGGUGAAGUAAAAACCUUAGACCGACCAUAAAUGAAUUUUAGUGCACUCAGAGUCGAUGUGACUCUAGUUUAUCUAUGACCUAAUCUGAAGAGUUCAUCACUAGAGCACGAAUGUGAUAAGCUAAACACAUAUUAGGAAAGUCUUCAAGAUUAGCCCUACCCUUUAGUUUUCUCAUCACAUCUUUGGGGAUCAUACUGAAAUCAUAAGAAGUAUAUAUAGGAAACUCGACCAACUCAUCCUAUUUUAAAAAAUUCACUUUCUCAUCAUCACUUUCGUCAAUCGGGGUAUCGUCUUCCUUCUGUUCCUUUUUAGAAACCUUUCUCAUCGUCAAAAUUUUCAUCUCGAGAAGACUUUGACUCCUUAGCAAGAAUAAAAUUUUGAGAUGAAUAAUGGCUGAAAGCAACAUGACCUCGGAGGAAGAAGACGAGUGGAAACCUUUUAAGAGAAGAGGUGAUUUCAAUGAAGUUGAUCGAAAAGAAUGAAAGUGAUAAUUGAAGCAUUUAUGGUAAAAAAAUUGAUGAGACUGCACCCCAAAAAAGGGAACAAUUGAAUACGUAAAGACAAACAGAGAAAAUAGAUUGAUUUAAGAAAUAAAACAAAGAGGUGAAGAUGGAUUCUCUAAAUCAAAAUCUAUGUGAGCAUAUACUCUUCAUGCUCAAGAUUCAUUAUCUUUUUGUCGAAGCAUUCUCAUCAUUUUGUUGUUACACUUCUUUGGACAUGAGGUUAAGUCGGUAAGCUAUCUUUUGAUAGUCCUGACCUCUGAUGAUCAAUGCAACUAGGUCAUCAUCGCCCUUUUUGAGUUGACUUCUCUUAAGUUCUACCCUAAAACUUUAGGCUUCCUUAGAACUAAAACUAGAAAACAUAAUAAAAAAUAUGUAUCAAAGAAAACAUAUGAAAAGAAAAAGAACUAUAUGGUCAAAGAACUUUUGAGAUUAAAAAAUUUAGAUCAAAUUAAGAGCAAUGAAAGCAGAAAGAUGAAAAAUAAAGGCCCCGAGUAACCUUUAUAUAGCUUUUCCUUAGAUAAGAUGAAUAGCCUAGAUUACACCAUGUGUCAAAACGUAAAUUGGAAGACAUCUUUUUAUCUUCCCCAUUUUAUAUUUUAUUGUUCUAGCUACCUCUCUCUUCAUUUAAUGCCAUUAGACCAGUCAAAUUGGACAGCCCCUUAAGUCAGAUCGAUUAGACCAUAUGGCCCCUUAGGUCAAGCUUUUCAAAUCUUUCAGCCUGAACCAACCUGAUGAACCAGUGUCUGGUUCAUCACUAGAAUUCAAAACAAGGAUUUGUUACCAAACUUCCAAAAAAACACCUAAGUCUCAUGUUUAUCAGAUGAAACUCCCAUCCUAAUCCUAGAUCAUUCGAACAAAGGGCACUUUUGGUACUUUCAAGCUAGUUAUGCACUCAACCCAAAAUAUGUGUGCAAGAUCAAACCCACACCAGGUGAACCAUAGUUCAUUGUCAAUUACUCUAAACGUCAACCUUCUACAUUGACGUUGACUACGAGAGGUCAAACCUCACGUUAUCUCCCUUCACUUGGUCGUCUAUACAAAAUAGAUAAAAAAAAAAAAAAACAUAUACCUAAUAGUUUGAUAUUCAAACUAUUUGGCGGAGGAACAAAAUGUUAGGGGCAUUUAUUAAUUAAAAGGGUAUUUUGAUCUUUUCCCUUAUUAAGAGCUCCUAACAGCUAACCAAUGGUGUUUCGAACAUGUGUGCAGACCUGACCUGACACAUUUAGUGCUAUAUCAACUUGACCACAUCAUUAUUGUCCCCCGCUGGUCCCCUGCAUUUUAUUUAAACAUACAAACAUCAAGACAUUAUUAUGGCAAGUUUUCUCUUACCUAAAUAUUUUAUCUUUUUCUCUUUCUGAUCUCUUCUCCAACUUGCACAUUAGAAUGCAAACACAGGAAACACUCCAUGCUUUUACCUUUAACCACAUUCUCAUUUUAUCCUUCUAAGGAUACCCCCACGUCAAAGCUUGGCAUCAACAGUAGUGAACUAUUAAUUCAAUGAUAUUGGAGAUAGUUUUAAGAUUGAAGAUUUUAACUUCAAAUUUAACUAUAGUCUAAAAGAUAAAAAAAAUACAAUAAAAAAUUAGGGAUUAAAACAGCAAUAUCGGGGAUUACCUUUUUUAUAGAAAAUGUUGGGGAUUAUUAAAUCCUGGUUAACCUAUAGUUUGUCUUUAUAUAUAUAUAUAAUUGCAAAUAAACUAUAUGAUGAGAAGAUCGAUUAAAACAAAGAAUCUGAUCAGGGUGACAAAUCAAAUAAUCAAUAGCUACAAUUUAAUAUAUAUAUAUAUAUAAACACCAUAUAUACAAAUAUAUUAAUUCCAAAGCAUGUAUGAAAGCUGACGAAAGAUGAGUAGAUCGAUUAACACAAUCAAUUUUAUAUGGUAUUUAUUGGUUCAAUUUUUACAUUGUAAGAAACUAUUAUCUAUAUGAUGAGAAGAAGCUAGUUAUAGUAAAUUAAGUUGUAAAAGUGAACAAAGACAUUGCAAUGGAUAGUGAAGCAAUAUUGUUGGUCUUGUAAGAACAUCUAAAAAAUCAUAGGACCCGUAUCAAAUUUACAUGCCUGGGAUUUCCAUGUUUAAUUCUUUCGAUAAGUUUCGGUAGAUAACAUGGAUGAUGUUCUUUGUCCAUGGUUAUGCUUAAAGUCAACCAUAUAUUCUCAUUCAAGUAUUUGAUAGACUUAACAGCUAAAACCAUUUUAAGCAGUUUUAAAGCUUCUUUAAAGUAAUUGAGGACCUUUUCUAUACAUCAAUUUUUUUCAUGUUCAAAGACUCAAAUGGUUUGACAUACCAGACAUUACAUUGAAUAUUGUCACCCAAAUUUUGAGACUAGGAAAAUGUUGGGCUAAAAGCCUCUAAUCCAAUCACACCAGCGGAAGCAAAAUCAAACAAUAAAUUAAACACAUAAGAGAUAAUAAUUUAACGUGGUUCGAUCCAAUCAACCAACAUCUACGGAUGACGAACAAGAUUCCACAUAGUUGUAGAGAAUUAACAAAUCAUACAUCAAAUCAUCAACCUCACUCAACAUCAAUACUCAUAAGACCACUCUCAAUCUCCUCUAGUCCUAAUGAUAGUAUUCCAUCAGCCCAAACAAACACAAAACCCAAAACCCUUGUGCAAUCUUUUCAACAUAACCAAACAUAAUACUCAUAUGCUCUCAUACAUCAUACCUAUGUGGACCCUCUCAGUCUCCUCUAAUCCAACUCACCAAAACAAACAUACACACCCAUAAGACGUUAGAGGCCCUAAUACUCCUACGAGGUAUUUUAUUUCCAUUAAAAACCCUACAGCUCUCUUACAUUCUUUUUUCCAUACUUAACCCUGUAGAGCUUCACCUCAUUUAUAAACCAUACAAACUUUGCCCAUAAGAAUCUAUUUCCUCUAGAAUUUUUCUCCUGUAAGUCAAACUUACUAUUAAGAAUCCCUUUCCUUUGUAGAAUUUUCGUCUUGCAAGUCAAACUUACCUAUUAAGAAUCAUCUUUCUCUUAGAAUUCUUCUUUUACAAGUCUUUUUGGCCACAAGCAAUAUCUGAUAAAUCCCAAACAAAUCUCUUAUGAGAUUUGAGUCAAUAUUCCUAACAAUCUCCACAUUGACUCAAAUUCCAUCAAUCAUCUAUCUUCAUGCUAGACAUGCUUGGAUCCACCUAUAAUAAAAGUCUCACUAUCAUCUUCUCUUGUGUGUCUUCACGUUUCAUACAAACUGAUCUUCAAUCCUCAAAACUUGAACUUGAACUCUUCUCUUGAAUCGAGCUCCUCUAAGCUUACUUCUUCCCAUAUCUCAAACUAAGCUCUUCCCAUAUCUCGAACUGUCAACUCUUCCUAAGUCUUGAACCUUCGACUCUUCCCACAUCUCGAACCUUCAGCUUUUCCCUCAUCUUGAACCUUUGACCCUUCUCAUGUUUUGAAUCUUCAACUCUAAUACCAUUUGUUGGAAAACACCACAGCUCUGAUAUCACUUGUUGAAAAAAUCAACAACCACAAGCAACACCCACACAUAAAUAGCAAGUUCAAAUCAAGAAUAAGAACACAACAAAUAUAUUUGGUUCGGCCCAACUCAAAGUGGCCUACUCCAAACACAAUCCACUAACAAAUAAAUCUUUACAAAGUCUCUUAAAACUCCUUACUCAAAACUUAACUCAAAACCCAAUUAUACCCUUUAAUAACAUACUCACUUAGCUAUUCUCUUGGUGUCUAACUCUUUAGGAUUACCAAACUAAAAACAAAAUACCUUAUUUAUAAAUGUGAAACCCCUUAUACUUUUCCUAAACUUUCGAUGUGGGAUAUUAGACAAAUUCAAAACUCACUAAUUUUCGAUGUGAGAUUAUGAGAUUUAAGGCAAAUCCCAACAGAAAGCAAUUACUAAGUUUCUAUUUUUGGUAUUAAUGAUACUAAAUGUUGCGUUUGUAAUAUUUUAAUUAAUGUCUCUCAACAUUUAAUAGAUAGUUCUAGCGGCUAGGGUUUAAAUGAUCAAUGAAACGAGUUUCGGGAAAAUCAAUUUGGUAUUAGAAUUCUGUCAUAAUUUUAUAAUUCAUUUGAAUAGCUUAUGAGAAAAAUGUCAUUACGUCAUUUUAUUGCUAAAUUUUAAGUUUUUUUAUGAUCAUUCUAAUGAAACAUUAUAGUUUAUUGUACGAAUUAAAAUCAUUUAACUUCUAGGAAACGUAUGGCUAUUACUUGAUUAUUAUGAUCCACAAUUUCUUUAUCUCUUUAAGCAAAAUACCUGUUGAAAUUGAAAGUUUGGAACGUGAUUUGCCUUUAAUGCUAAACCCGUAGGAUUUGUUCAACAUACAUAAAUUUCAAUGGUUUAAGGGUUUGGAUUGAUUAAAAAGCUUCCGGAUUUGUCGGUGAACAAAGAGGUCCCAUGCAUUCAAUCACGUAGGACACAACCGGCCAAGCACUCGAACAGGACAGUUUUGUCAACUUCUUCAUGGUAUUAUACUCUAAGAAAGAGGCACUGUCAUGCAAUGAUAUACGAGUUGGACAAUUAUGUCUUUGGAUUUGAAUUGAUAUCUAUCAAUUAAAACAAUAGUAAAGUUUUCAACGGCUGCUAGUACAAUAUGUCAGCUUAUUUCGAAAUUUGCUGAGUGCAAAUAACUUUCAUUUUGAUUUUGAAUGAUGUUAUAGAGACCCUGGGAAAUUAUUGAAUCUUGGAAAAUUACUUAUAUAUGAUCAGACUCUGUCAUUUAACGACCUUUUCUUCUUUACCCUUUUCCCUUUUCAUCACAACGUGUUAAUGGUAAGACCUUAAAUACCAUGAAAUGGAGUAUUUUGAUGAGGUUAAUAUUUGUAAUUUCAGUGAUCAAAAUUUAAUUUUUUAUAAUUUUCAAUGUAAAAAAUAUGUAUCUAACGAGAAAAACAAAAAAUUUGAAGCUUAUCCUUACGUAUCGUAAUAGUAUAUAUAGCGAAGGCAGAAUUUCAUGGCAUAUGAUCUGAUUGGAUACAUGAACAACUCAACCACCAGCUUUUUUUUUUUUUUUGGAACUGAAAUCAAACAAUAGACCCGGAUGCUGUUACUUUUUCUCCUUAGCCAGGAGACAGUUUUAAUUAGGUCGCUUAACGAUGUUUCUUAAUUAAUGUUUAACUGAUCAACUAUUGAGAGCUAAUGUCCCCAGAUUAUAUAUAUUUUGUUCAUGCUUCCAUGCAACCAUCGUUUUUUUUUUCUUUCCCGUCCAAGCGCCAAUCAAUCCAUCUUUUCGGGUUACAUCCCCUGAUAUAAUAUUUUCCAUUCAUUCGCUUUGAUUAUGUACUUGGGAUCUUUUUUCCUGUUGAAAAAGUUAAUUAAUUAGCAUCACUGUUCUAUUUUCUUGUUAUUAAUCACUUUUGUCAAACUUAAAACUACUGUUUUUUACUUAUUCAAGUAUUGGAGAGAGAAGAAUUAAAAUAAGAUUCUUUGUUGGCUGUAGCCUCCAAAAGAACAGGUAGCCCGGAAAAGAUACCACCUACUGAUCAGAGCAAGUAUGAAAAUUUAAACCAGGAAUAGUACAUCCAAUCAAGAGUACUGCCUGUUCACUCACGAGUAGUUCAACAAGUUUGAAUUUUCACAACUUAUAUCCAAAUACUGACAGUUACUUUGCCCCCAUAUGUCCCCCUGAAAAUCCACUUUCACUUGUAUGAGAAAGUCCCCGGUUAUUCAGUUAUCCCAAACUGAUCAUCAAGCACUCAAUUAGGGAAUUUGAAGUUUCAUAAUCAAACAAGUAAUUGUCUAAGAAACAUGUAUAUACAUAUAUAUAUAUAUAUAUAUAUUCACGAGGCUUUUCAAGAAGGAAAUAAAUCGUUUUCCUGACUAUAGCCAGUCUGUCGGUAUGGGUAGCUAAUACAAAGACUUUUUGAUCAACCGAUGUGUGAUAGAAAAGGUCCCAAGUCAAUCGUCUUGCCAAUGAAACGUUGAAGCGAAUAUUAAAGCCUACAAAUUAGACCAGGGUGGAAAUAAGAAAGGCUUUAGCAGCAGAUUGGAGUAGGAUGGACAUCCAACCCUUUGCACUAAAAUAUUGACUCUUUUUCAAUCUACAAAGCAAAGAUUUAAUAUUCCCAUGUGUAUGGUCACAAAUCGUCCUAAUUUGAUCUUUUCGUAUUAGAUCUAACAAAUCAGUUGCUCGAUUUUUAUAAAUCAAAUUUUACUGUCUGUGGAUGAAAAGUUUUCCAUUGCUUAGGAGAACAUCACUUUUAUUUUUAGUUCUUUUAAUCUGAGAUCAAAUUUUCAUUAUAGCUUCAUCCUGAACCAAAAUAUAAAGCAUGCUUUUAAUUAUUUUUCCAAGGCCCCAUUAGGCAUACAAGAGAUUGGCUCUUUCUUCUGGACCAUAAAAUUUCUUCAGGUCAACUUCAUACCAACAUGAAUGUAUAAUAAGUACUACUAGUAUUUUUAAUAUAUUAUCACUUGUUUAUAUUUUUAAUUAAAAUUUUUGGCUUUAUCUGAUCCUACCUUACUGACUCCUGAAUUAGUCGACUGGUCUUCCAUUAAAAACUGCAAUUUGCAUAGACACAAAUAUUUAACCAAACUGAUUACAAAAUAUAACCAGAUUUACUUUAGUAGAAGCAAAUUUAUAGUCUUAUACAUCUGUUAAUAUAAUCCUCCGAAUAAUCUAUACAUACAACAGAUUCACAAUAAUUUAGGAGAGAAUCAACCAAUUAUAUCUUAAAAUUAUGGUAAUUGCAUUAAUAACAUCAUUUAAAACUUGAGAUUUUGAGAUAAAAUGGUAAAAUAAAUGAGACAAUAGAAAGUUCUUUUCAUAAAAGAGAUCAAAAUUUAAAAGAAAUAAAAAAAUUGCAAAAUGAACGAAUAAAUUGUGUUAAACCCUAAGAAUGAGAUUGAAGACGAAUGUUUACUAUUAAAUUGUCCAGAACUCGGUAAAUCUUGAUCAUUUGAGAGGUAAGGUUACUAUAGGACAAUUUAGGCAAUCAUCAAUCAUCACAAAUCACAAUGCAGCAGAGUACAAUCUUCCCACGUUAUCACAGUACAAUCUUCCAACGUUAUCAUUUUCUAAAGAAUGUCAAAAAGCAUUUUACUUUUAUAAUAUGUACAAGAAUUCAUUCAUCAACCUCAUCAUUUUUUGAGGUUUACUAAACUGUAUGAAAUCAAAACCGUUGUGGCCCAUGAAACUUUCCGUUAAUUCCUCUCCCUUACAUUUCUUACCUUUACUUCUCAAAGUGAGCAAACAGAAGUAGCAAAUUUUCUCAGAAAAGCUAUGAAAUGCGGGAAAAAAAAAGUGUAAAUCACAAGAUCAACAAUCUUUCCUCAUAUUUAUCAGCAGUUUUUCCAUGUUUUUGUCAACAAUAAAACUCCACCAUCAACCAACUUAUAACCUUAGCUUUAUGGUGGGUCCAUCAAUCACCUUAUUUAUACCAAAUGUAUUGCCACACUCUUCCAUACACAAACCUAAUUUCAGAACCUUCAAUUUUUGGUCCCAAGGUCUCAAUCUGCAUUUAGGCAGACAGUCCUUUUUGUUUCACCACUGGUAUAGUUCGGUACUCAAUGCCUUCUCCUUUCUGCCUCCCCUAUAUGGCUCCAAUUUCCUCUUUGUUUCUAGCAUUUCUCAUGAUUUCCUCAAGCAAUGCUCAGGGUCCACCUUCCCCUGGAUACUCCCCCAGCUCCAUGGUUAGUUCUGUGACCUUUGAUCAAGGGUUUAGAAAUCUAUGGGGUCCUCAGCAUCAGAGAGUAGACCAGGGUUCAUUAACAAUCUGGCUUGAUAAAAGCUCAGGUUUUUGCACUUGCAUAUCCAUUGUUUUUCUUUUUCUGUUUCCAUGAUUUUCUUCUCCUGGUCCUGGAGAUAAUCAGUCACUAACAUUAUGUGCUGAUUCUUUGCAUUCAUGGUGAAAACAGGAAGUGGAUUCAAGUCACUUCAGCCGUAUCAAUCUGGUUACUUUGGUGCUGCCAUGAAGCUCCAAGCUGGUUAUACAGCAGGAGUCAUUACAUCUUUCUAUGUAAGAUUAAUACAUAACAUACACAAAAUUAUUGCGCUAAAAAUUGCUUAUGGUCUAUCUAAUUAAAAAUUUGAUGUUCUGCAAUUUGACAAAUUGGCAGCUUUCAAACAAUGAAGAUUUCCCUGGAAACCAUGAUGAAAUUGAUAUUGAGUUCCUUGGAACAACACCAGAUAAACCCUAUACUCUACAGACUAAUGUGUAUAUUAGAGGAAGUGGGGAUGGAAAUAUAAUUGGAAGGGAAAUGCAAUUUCAUCUUUGGUUUGAUCCCACACAAGACUACCAUAACUAUGCUAUACUUUGGACCCCCAGUGAGAUUAUGUAAGUAUCACCUUUUUUCAAUUUUCAAAUGAUCAAAUUUAACUUUUCUUUGCUUUAAUUAUGUAUUCACCGCAUGCAUGCAUGCUUUUCCCUUUUUUUCUUCUGGUUUUUUAUUAGCUUCUUCUCUUUUGAUUGUUUAAUGCAAAAAAAAAAACACUAAAAAUACAGAAAAAAACAAAAAAAAAGAACAGAGAGAAGCUUUACAUAAAAGUGUUCAAAUUUUAUUGAUAGUACUGAUUAUAAAAGUGUUCAAAUUUUAAUGUCCACUCAUAUCCUGUAAUAAUCUAGCUUGGUUUGCUUGUAAUUUUAGAAGUAAAAUUGAUAUUUUUAGAGUAUGUGCUUGACAUGGAUUGCUAAUUUGCUCACAACUUUUUAUGUUGAUGGGUUAUUAUUUGUGUUACUUUUGCUAAUGCAAUUGUACUAUUAUGGAAAGCGACGUGCACGUUUUGUCAUUUUCCCUAAAGAAAAAUCUACCCUAAUAAAGUAACCCACUGUCCGUAAAAAAAUUGAAACUGAAUUCUAAGCUUGUAAGUUUAGUGAAUCUCUGCAAUUCUUCCCUAAAUUAUAAAUGUUUUAUGAUUCGAUCAACAGAUUUUUCGUAGAUGAUGUUCCUAUUAGGAGGUACCAAAGGAAAAGUGGCGCCACAUUCCCCAUAAGACCGAUGUGGGUUUACGGAUCAAUUUGGGAUGCAUCGUCUUGGGCCACUGAGAAUGGAAAAUACAAGGCUGAUUAUAACUACCAACCCUUCAUUGGUAGGUAUACAAACUUCAAAGUAAGUGGUUGCACCGCCAAUGGGCCUGCCUCAUGCAGCCCGCCCUCCGUCUCUCCAUCCGGCUCCGGCGGCCUUAGCCAACAACAAGUCUCGACCAUGACUUGGGUCCAAAGGAACUAUUUGGUGUAUGACUAUUGCCAAGACCCUAAGAGGGAUCACACUCAGACGCCUGAGUGCGAAUGAAGAUUCGGUUAUUAAAAUUUUACAAGAUGCAAUAUUGUGAUAAUUGUUAGUUUGGGGGGUUUCUUGAGACGGGUCCUGCUUGCCAAGAACAGGUGAAAGAGUGGUUGAGCGUCCAAAGCCCUCUAAGAUUUGCAUAUCUUGUUGUUUUGUUAAUUUGUAUUGUUCGGUUGUAGGUGUUUGCAUUGUUGUUGGAAUAAAAUUGAUCAUAAACGUGCUUUUUAUAAAGAAAGAAAAAGUACUUAGGGGAAUUUUCAAGACAUCAAAAGAAAGUGAAAUGGCCAAAAGAGGCCUUGAAGGUUUGUAUUCAGUUUGUUAUUAUUAAUGGAAAGGGACGGUUUUCUCUUUUGAUUCUGUAAUAAUGGAUUUGCUCCCUUCACCAAAUCAGAAACAGUGGGAAAUAGUUUGAGUUUUAAUUUGUGAACCCCAAUUGACUCUUGGUCUUGCCUCUGCUUUCAAACAAGUGAUGUUUGGAUUGAAUUUUUUACCGCAAACCUAAUGUGUCGAUGCUUAAGGAAGAUAAUGAUUUGAAUUGAAUUGGAUUUUGUUCAUCUUUUUAAAUAUUAUAUAGUAUUAUAAAUUUUUAAAAUUUGAUCUGAAUGCGAAUUAAAUUUACAUAUAAUUUGAAUUGAAUUUUAUCAAUUUGAUUUAAUUUGUAGAUUUUUAAAUUAAUUUUUUAUUUUUAUAUAUUAUUUUAUAUAAAAUUUUAAUAUAUUGAAAUAAAUUUUGAUUUAAAAUUAUUAUUUUUAUUUUAUAAAAAUUUAAAAUACAUAUAAAUUAAGAAAAAUAUAUAAUUUAAUUUGAUUCAAUUUUUUUAUUUUUUAUAUUUUGAUCUAAAAUUUGAUCUGAAUCUAAUAUAUAAAUUUAAUAUAUAAACUUGAUUCAAACCAAAUAAAAAAAAUUGAUUCGAUCUAAAUUGGACAUUAUAAUUUUGAAUCAAUUUUUGAUUUUAAAUCUUAAAAAUAAUUUCGAAAUCAAUCCGAUCUUAAUUUUUAUUUUUAAAUCUCUAUCAAACCAAUUGAAUUAAAUUUUUUUUUUUAAAUUUCAUGUUAUUUGUUCAAAAAUAUAUGAUGUGAUUAAGAUAAUUUUGAAGCAAUAAUGCAACGAAUGAUUAGCCAUUAAAAUGCCAAAAUAAUUAAAGAGACAUCUUACCUAUAUAAAUAGUAUGUAAGUAUGGUCUUUUUUUAUAUGAUUACUUGUCUGAUUUGAUAAUUAAGAAGGCAUCUAUCUGCAUGCAUGGCAAAUAAUUUUAAAAAAAAUUAUUAUAUUCCUUUGAAGAAAAGAAAGAACUUUUUGAAAUUAUGAUGUCAAAUAAAUUCAAAAAUGCCUUUUUAAGAGCCAAUCAAAUUAUAACACGUGGUUACCAAAAUAUAAAUAAAUUUAUGUCAGAUUCAUUAAACAAAAAAAAAAAAAAACAGUGGCAAAGGUGUAUGGACUAUUGUCUAAUAGACCGCUAACGUCGAAGACUCGGAGGCCAUUCUUUCGAUUUUGUUAGUCUGGACUUUAAAGGCCCAAAAAAUUACUACUAGUAUUCAAGCUCUUCUGGGCCUGUAAGAAGCCCAUUAUGAAUAAAUGACGUAAUAAAUUAAGACUCCAUUUUGUUGGUAUUUUAUUUUUUAUCGUUUAUCAUUUUCUAUUUAUGUUUUGACAAAUAAUAGCAAAGGUACUUUUUGUUAUUUUUAAGAGUGCAUAUCAACUAUAAAUCCAUAUUUUUUUUCUUACAACGCAUAAUUAUUCAAUCCUAAUAAAAAUUAUAUAAAAAUUUAUCAUUUAUAAAUAUAAAUUAAUAAAUUUUAUAUAAUUUUAAAUUAUAAUUGAUUAAUUUUACUGUAAGUUUGGGUGAAAUGCUACGAAUUUUUAAUGCCCUGUCUCGUGAGCACUGUGUGCAUCCAAAGCCCCCUUGCACCCACCUUACUCAUUCCCCACUAUCCCUUCUUUAAGACUCUGACAUUUUUAGCUGUUCACUGCAGCCUAGUCUAAUUUCUAACUCUCUUUCCUCUGACAAACUCUGCUAUCUUCUAACCUCUUUUCAAGCCAUUUGCAUGACAAUCCCCUUUUCCCCAGACCAAAAGCUAAAUUUUCAAUCUCAUUAUUCUAUUCAGGCCAUAUACUUUUUAAAACUUUACAUGAUUUGUGCAUCUCAAAGAUGCCCAUAAAAAAAAAAAAAAAAAACCGGAAACCAGUUGCAACAAGUUCCAAAACACAGCUCAAAACUUGAACAUGGAUCCAAAUCUAAAUCACUUUGAAAAAACAUAUACUUAUGUACAAAGCCAGAUACGUUGUCUUGUCAUGUCCCUACAACUAUUUCAUGGGUAUUAUUUACCAAAAAACCUAUUUCCCUCUCUUUUUCAUAUUAUACAAAGGCCAUUUUAUAUAUAAUUAUUAUGGUAUUUCCCGCAAAAAUCCCGAAAAAAAAAAUCUUAUGCUUUAUGUGGGCCCAGCGACCGUAUAAAAUACUAAAAUUCCAUCCCUUCCGACACCGGCGAUCCAAGCGACCAGCCCAGCUGUCCUCCAUUAAAAAACCCAUUCACCUGCACCGCGUUGGAAGAGCACCUCCUUAGCUGGCAACUCAAUCGCCCAAAAUAUUAACUUAUCCGACGUGUUCUCUUCCUAUUGGCUUGAAACCCUUGACCUGCUGUACGAUCGGUCUAGUUUAUGGUAGAGCGAGUCGAGAACCUGCCAUGUGGCAUCCCCUUUUUGCAUAUGAUCAUUGAACAGUAGGGCCCGCGUGACUGCCGGGUCCCAUAAGUUCCUCUGAAUGGUAGACAAAUUGGUCGCCGCCACGUGUUCCAAGAUCAUACCCAACUUUCCCACGUCCCUUUCCGCCACCGUGAGGGAAAUCUCGGACCACUUCACAGCGGAGGGAAAUGGCAACCGAAUUCCGUCCGCUAUAAUCACCGGAACGCAGCCCAAAGCCACGGACUCAACAAGCCUUGGACUCCAAGGGGCCCACCCAAGUGGACACAAACAAAAAACCGACCGUACAAUCUCUGACUGGAAACCGGCGAAUCUAUGCCUCUGCAAGUAAAACCUCCGGUCUCCGUUAUACCUCCGCCAAAUUUCUGUCCUCACCCUCCUGAAAUAGAUGACAAAAUUACAUUAAACAUGGAUAAACACGUAAUUUUCAACACAGUGAUUAAGGCCAAGAUUGAACAUUUUCGAGACUUUGAUUUUGGAACUUACUUGCUAUAAAAUUUUCCACUAAUGUUUUUGGGGUGGACCUCCAUUUUUCCCCUGAAAAAGACCAUGAUGUCUCGGUUCCCGGUCAACGGAGCUUUCUCGAGGGUCUUCCUUACACUUUCCGGUGCGAUAUAAGGCGGUAUAAGAACAUUUUCAACGUCUUGACAAGGGUGCUUGUAAUUAACCCCAAAAGUUUGUAAUAUUAUUGAGUUUUUCAAAAACUCUGGAAUCCCAUCAUCAAUUGCUCUAUCCUCCUUCAAAAUCAAAAACAAGAGUUAAAAACCAAAUUAAG
rnacentral:lncRNA from 1 species